UACGUAGGGGGCUAGCGUUGUCCGGAAUCAUUGGGCGUAAAGAGCGUGUAGGCGGUCCGGUAAGUCCGCUGUGAAAGUCGGGGGCUCAACCCUCGAAUGCCGGUGGAUACUGUCGGGCUAGAGUGCGGAAGAGGCGAGUGGAAUUCCUGGUAUAGCGGUGAAAUGCGCAGAUAUCAGGAGGAACACCAAUGGCGAAGGCAGCACUCUGGGACGUGACUGACGCUGAGACGCGAAAGCGCGGGGAGCGAACAGG
rnacentral:rRNA from 1 species